UUGUUGUCCUUGAUGCUGGAAAAUAUUUUGAAGACAAGACUCUAAACAGUAACCUAUGCCACACUAGUUUAUUGGAAAAUGAGAAACUUACAUUUUACUGACAAGCUUGGAAGUUUCUUCUGUCCUGCAGUGACCUGUGUUUCCCUGGAUGAUAUUGAUGAUGAAGUGUCUUACGAUGAUCAUUUAGAGGUUUAUUUUGAAAAACUGGCAAUUCCAGGAAUGAUGGAAUAAAACAUAUGAAGUAGAAGGACUGGAACCUGCAGAAAAAGUACUUUCAGUUACCUGCAGGUGAUCCUAGUCAGGUAUGAAUUGAUAAGAAAUGCCUGCACCUUCCCUCCUUCCUAUCUUUCCCUUGCCUACAGAAAAUUAAAAGGCAAAACAAUGGACAUCUACAUAUUCUUCAUUCAGAUCGACCAGUGGCUAGCAUUUGCCACCUUUUGCAGUUUCUUUCUCUUUCUGCAAAUGAAAACAGUAUCCUGAAGUGUCAGUUUCAACCAGAAAAUAACAGCUCUGAUUUCUCAUGGCUCACACUCUUCUGAAACGACUAGGAAGAGGCUCAGGAAGGUCAUGUUGUUUGUCUACCUGGGACUAAAUUCUGGUUAUUGAAUCACAGCACCUACUGAAAGAAGUUCUCAAGUUCUGAUUGAGUUCUAAAAUUUUUUGAAGAUUGGAAUUCUUCAUAUGUAAGUAAAAACAAUUUCUGAUGACCCAUUUCUAGUCCAUCUUCUAAAGAAGUAUUUAAUCUGGGCCAUGCAUGGUGGCUCAUGCCUGUAAUCCCAGCACUUUGGGAGGUGGAGGCAGGUGGAUCACGAGGUUAGGAGAUCAAGACCGUCCUGGCUAACAUGGUGAAACCCUGUUUCUAUUAAAAAUACAAAAAAGGCUGAGCACGGUGGCUCACACCUGUAAUCCCAGCACUUUGGGAGGCUGAGGCAAGUGGAUCACGAGGUCAGGAGAUCGAGACCACAGUGAAACCCCGUCUCUACUAAAAAUACAAAGAAUUAGCCAGGCGCGGUUGUGGGUGCCUGUAGUCCCAGGUACUUGGGAGGCUGAGGCAGGAGAAUGGCAUGAACCUGGGAGGCGGAGCUUGCAGUGAGCUGAGAUUGCACCACUGCACUCCAGCCUGGGUGACAGAGCAAGACUGUGUCUCAGAAAAAAAAGGCCUCAGUGCACCUUUGCAGUAAUUAUAUGAAGGGGUGCCCUGCCCCUCCAUACCUGUGGGUAUAUCUCAUCAGGUGGGAUGAGAGACUGCGAAAAGAAAUAAGACACAGAGACAAAGUAUAGAGAAAGAAAAGCGGGCCCAGGAGACCAGCACUCAGCAUACGGACCUGCACCGGCACCGGUCUCUGAGUUCCCUCAGUUUAUUGAUUACCAUUUUCACUGUCUCAGCAAGAGGAAUGCGGUAGGACAGCAGGGUGAUAGUGGGGAGAAGGUCAGCAAGAAAACAUGUGAGCAAAGGAAUCUGUGUCACAAAUAAGUUCAAGGGAAGGUAUUAUGCCUGGAUGUGCACGUAAGCCAGAUUUAUGUUUCUCUCCGCCCAAACGUCUCAGUGGAGUAAAGAAUAAUAAAGCAGCAUUGCUGCCAACAUGUCUCGCCUCCCACCACAGGGCGGUUUUUCUCCUAUCUCAAAACUGAACAAAUGUACAAUUGGAUUUUAUAUCAAGACAUUCCGUUCCCAGGGUCAGGCAGGAGACAGUGGCCUUCCUCUAUCUCAACUGCAAGAGGCCUUCCUCUUUUACUAAUCCACCUCAGCACAGACCCUUCACGGGUGUCGGGCUGGGGGACGGUCAGGUCUUUCCCAUCCCACGAGGCCAUAUUUCAGACUGUCACAUGGGGAGAAAACUUGGACAAUACCCGGCUUUUCAGGGCAGAGAUCCCUGUGGCUUUCCGCAGUGCAUUGUGCCCCUGAUUUAUUGAGAAUGGAGAAUGGCGAUAACUCUUACCAAGCAUACUGCUUGUAAACAUGUUGUUAACAAGGCACAUCCUGCACAGCCCUAGAUCCCUUUAACCUUGAUUCCAUACAACACAUGUUUCUGUGAGCUCAAGGUUGGGGCAAAGUUACAGAUUAACAGCAUCUCAGGGCAAAGCAAUUGUUCAGGGUACAGGUCACCAUGGAGUUUCUUAUGUCUUCCCUUUCCACACAGACACAGUAACAGUCUGAUCUCUCUUUCUUUUCCCUACAAUUAUAGUCCAUUGUGUACAUGAAAACAAGGCUUUCUGAGAACAUGUAUUAUUGAUCAGAGGCAGCAGCAGUGAGAAGCCAGUGUGUCAUAUUGUCCAACACACACUUCCUGCACAGCCCUGCCAUGCUCACUCAUGACUUUCUGACAAACUGCCUUGUCGCUAGGAAGCCCUUAAUUUUCCUCUGCACUCUCCAAGAGAAAGAGGGCCUCCCCAUGAGUUAACAGCUGGAGGAAAAUGAAAAAGUAAGCUUUUCCUUGCGUUGGAAAACCUUUUUUUUUAACUUUUAUUUUAGGUUCAGGGGUGCGUGUACAGGUUUAUCAUACAGGUAAACUCGUGUCAUGAGGGUUUGUUAUACAGAUUAUUUCAUCACCCAGGUACUCAGCCUAGCACCCAAUAGUUAUUUCUUCUGCUCCUCUCCCUCCUCCCACCCUCCACCCUAAAGUAAGCCCCAGUCUGUUGUUCCUUUCUUUGUGUCCAUGUGUUCUUGUCAUUUAGCUCCCACUUAUAUGUGAGAAUGUGCAGUAUUUGCUUUUCUGUUCCUGAGUUAGUUCACUUAGGAUACCGGUCUCCAGGUCUGUCCAUGUUUCUGCAAAAGACAUGAUCUCCUUCUUUUUUAUGGCUGCAUAGUAUUCCAUGGAGCAUAUAAACUACAUUUUCUUGAUCCAGUCAGUUAUUAUGGGCAUUUAAGUUGAUUCCCCACUCCUGCAGAAGCCAGCCUUCUGUGUAUCACCGCAUGGCCCUGUGACACAGGAAAAUGCAUGUCUCUGGGAUAGGAUGACUGUUUCUCAUCCCGCAUGGUAAGGAGUUUCCAAAGUUAGCAAGUGCUUAUUCAGCACCUGCUGUGGGCUAUGCCAAUGGUGCCACAGGACAUGUGGUGGGGGACACAGCCUGCAGUAACAGAGAACACCCUUCCCACAAGAGCCUGCAUUCUGCUUGUGGGAGACAGACAAUGAGCCAAGUCCUGGAGCUGCCUGCAUGGGGAGUGAGCGAGGAGGAAUUGCAGUGAGGGGCAGGCAGCCGGGGAGAGCUUCACGCCCACCGCCCCACUGGGUCCACACUCUUGUGCUGCCCUCCCUUGGAGGGUCUAAUUAGGGCCAUGUAAACUUCCUGGGUAGUUCAGAUCUAGUUGGGAUUCUGGCUUAACAAGACCUUUUCCUGUUUCUCAAGGGGCCCUGGAUUAUUCAAUUGGGAAGGGAAGCUGUAAGAAUCAUCUAGUCCAGGUGAUUCAAAGCGUACCUGUGGAGUCUCUUCUGGGGCCAUGAAGCGGGGCUGGGGGAAGCCCAGGGUUCUGGGGAUUCUACCUUAACUCACCUGUUAACUGGUGAAAGACACCUUCUGACCAAAGAUCACAAGAUGAAAACCUGGAAAAGCCUCAAGAGAGUCUGCAUUACCUGGAAGGACUCUGAGGCCUAGAGAGAAAGAACUUGCAAACUGAUGCCUGCUGACUCGCCCUCCAGGGCUCAGCCCGCUGCCGUGAGCUUUCUCUCGUGGCUUUUGUAUCUCCGAUGUCAAGUGGCCCAGGGAAAACAGGCACCUGCUCUGUGGAUGAGAGGUGUGGCCUGGUGACGUUGCCAGAGAGGGGCAUAUCUGUUUCCUGGGGGUGGAAUAAAAUGAAUUCUCCCAGGUCUUACACCUGCUAUAAGAUGCUUCUGGUCAAUGGGUAUUUGGAAUACUGCCAUGUUAGUUAGCGGGGAGGUAUCUGGGAUCUUUGAUUCUGUGCCACAAAGCAGUUCCCUUUACUAUGUCAGAACCCUCCUUACACUUUGAGCUCACCUGGCCCUGCCACCUGGUAUUCCACGACCUUCUCUCCAAGGCAACAGAAAGACCACAAGACACCGUAGACAAUCCAUUGGUGUGAUUAAAUAUUUUGGAGAUCUCUUGGCAUUUGCUUCCUGGUAACUGUGGGGUAACAUUCUCUACACCAAACAUCUCAAACUCAACUGUCUACAAGAGCCAAGUAAGUGCCCUAAUGAGUGAAGUCGGCCAGGCAGGAACUGAGAAUUACAGAAGGGAGGCAUCCACCUUCACCCUUGCUUGGAAUGCAGCCCUCCAAGACCUGGUCUUCUUUUUUUUUUUUUUGAGAUGGAAUCUUGCCCUGUCACCCAGGCUGGAGUGCAGUGGCGUGAUCUCGGCUCACUGCAACCUCUGCCUCCCAGGCGCAAGCAAUUCUGCCUCAGCCUCCUGAGUAGCUGGGAUUACAGGUGCACACCACCACUCCCGGUUAACCUUAUAUCUUUAGUAGAGACAGGGUUUCACCAUGUUGGCCAGGCUGGUCUUUAACUCCUGACCUCAUGAUCCACCUGCCUUGGCCUCCCAAAGUGUUGGGAUUAAAGGCGUGAACCACCACGCCUGACCAGGAGAACAUCUUGAACCUGAGAGGCAGAGGUUGCAGCGAGCCAAGAUCGCGCCACUGCACUCCAGCCUGGGCAGCAGAGCAAGACUCUGUCUCUAAAUAAAUAAAUAAAUAAACAUAUCAAAGAAGCAAUCAAAAGUAGGAAUAAGAAGAGACUAUCAAAUAUGAGAAGCAACCAGGUAGAUUUCCUUCAUCCUCCCAUUGGACUGCCAGCUGGGGCUUCCACUUUAGAACAUUAACCAAAAUGCGCAUGGACCUGUUGAACCUGCUUUUUUGGGGGGGGGAUGGAGUCUUGCUCUGUUGCCCAGGCUGGAGUGCAAUGGUGUGACCUUGGCUCACUGCAACCUCCGCCUCCCAGGUUCAAGCAAUUCUCCUGCCUAAGCCUCCUAAGUAGCUGGGAUUACAGGCACCCGCCACCAGGCCCAGCUAAUUUUUGUAUUUUCAGUAGAGACAGGGUUUCGCCAUGUUGGCCAGCCUGGUCUGGAACUCCUGACCUUAGAACCUGCUUUAUUUUUAUCAUUCUAUUUGGAUUUCCUUUUGAAUGCUUCCUUAACUCCCUUACCAUUUGCUAAAAUUGGGUAGGUGCUUAUGGUGAUGUCCCAACAUAAUUUUAAGUCUCUUAUUGCUUGAACCCCGGACACGGAGGUUGCAGUAAGCCAAGAUCGUGCCACUACAGCCUGGAUGACAGAGUAAAACUCCAUCUCAAAAAAAAAAAAAAGGUCUCUUAAAAGGAUAAAGGACAUGAUACCUGGUAGCAGUAAACUUAGAAAUACUGUCCUCUCUAAAUGCUCGUGUUGUUUAAAGAAUUAAAAUAUUUGGCUUAGCAGCUUGGGUUUCUUAAAAUGACUUCUAAAAAUAUUGCAUUUACUAAAUCUUCUUUCCUGGCCACUCAUUGACUUAAUUUCUGUCCUUACGUGCUAUGUCUAGGACAUUUAGAUAUAGGAGGUAAAUUCUAGCACAUUUUGGGAACACCGUGAAUAGAGGAGCUGAUAAACAGAUGGAGUGAAACGGGCCAAGAAUUGCUGUGAAUAUUAAAGAUAAAUAAAGGCCAGUAACAGGAAAAAGAAAGGGACACACAAUUCAUUGAUCAGAUUCAUAGUUAUAAAAAAAUGCUCCCACUUAAAGAUUAUCCCAUUUCUGGGAAAAUGGU